GAUGAACGCUAGCGGUGUGUCUAAUACAUGCAAGUCGAGCGAGGCUUCGAGCCGAGCGGCGAACGGCUGAGGAACACGUUGGAACCUACCCCAUACUCAGGGAUAACUCCGAGAAAUCGGUGCUAAUACCGGAUGGCCCGCAAGGGUAAAGCUUUUGCGGUAUGGGAGGGGCCUGCGGCCUAUCAGCUUGUUGGUAAGGUAACGGCUUACCAAGGCUAUGACGGGUAUCUGGUGUGAGAGCAUGACCAGACAGAAUGGGACUGAGACACGGCCCAU
rnacentral:rRNA from 1 species